rnacentral:misc_RNA from 1 species
CUUGAUAUUGCAGUCAAAUUGCCAUUCCAAUAACGUGCUUGCACUUUCAGAAACCUUCUAUUUUCUUUAUGUAUUAAUUCUAUAUAUAAAUGUAUCUUCUUCAACAACAUUUUAUUUAAUUAAUUAAUUAAUUAUAUAAAAAUAUCUUCCUUGGAAUCUUCAUAUGUUCACUACUGCUUCUUCAAAGAAGAGAGGUUCAUUUUUCUGCAAGACAAAGAUAAUGUCGAUUGAUACAAUCUCUACACUCAAAGGAAGACAUCCAGUACUGGUUUUUUCAUCUCCUAGCUACAUGAUUCUAUCACACAGCGAAGGAAGCCUCCUGAAGAAGUUCAAUGCCGGCGACGGCAUUCGAUCACGGAAAAUCGGAUGCCUCAAGUAAUAGAAUCCAAAUGUCAUAGCCACCAUUUUUGAAGGCACCAAGUAUAAUAUUAUCGCCACCACAAAACACAGCCCGAUAAAUAUCCCCGUUGCCCUUGGAUCCCUCCACGUCACUAAUGCCUGCACCCUCUCCCCUUGCGUCGCAAAAUCCCCCAAUAUCUUCUGCACUCGUAUCCCUAGCGUUCGCAGCUUAUCGUACCUCCUUCGUACCUCAUCCGCUGAUCUGCUACUUGGCAGUGUAUCAAACUCCUCAUCUAGUUCCUCCAGAUCCACCGAUUCUGCCAACGAGAUUUUUGGAUCAAAGUGCGGCAGUGGGUCCCUUGACCGAAGCCUGUAAUUCCAGGCACCAAUCACGAACACGUAAAAUGCCAAUGUGGGGACAAUUAAAUCAGGGAACCACACUAGCAUCACUAGUAAAGCAUGCACAAGUAUUGUAGCCGUUGGAUUCUUCCACUCACGCAUGGCUUCUAUCCACCGUACGAUAUCUAACACCCCCGCGAUCACGUUGAUGAUCCUAAACCAGUUCGCACGUACUUUUCGCAUGCUAAAAGCGUGCGAAUCCGCAUCGACCAAGUAAGACACCACCUCGCGUCGAAGGGGUGGCUCUGAUCUUGACAAGUGUUCGGCUAUGAUCUUCACAGCUGUGCUCCUCAACAUUUCCUGCUGGACCCCCCCUAGGGGCUUUAUGUGAUGCAUCAACGGUAGCAAUGGCUGGGAGUACACGUGUAAGAAAUCCAACGUCUGAGUUGUGCGUACAAACCUCACCGCCACUGCGAUCUCGCCCAUUUUCUUCACCCCUGUGUUUGUCAACAAAGUCAACGGAUACGAGUUUCUGUACACCUUACCCGUCUCCAACGUAGAUAUACGUAUGCGUACUUUCCCAAUACGGAAAUCAGGACGCGCAGCAGUUGCUUUACCGUCGGAUUGGAAUACUUCCCAGCUAUCGAAGACCCCAAUGGUCAACACCGUGGAUGGAUCAAAGACCUUCCAAGUGUACUGCUCAUUCCAUUUAGGGUCCAAGCUAUCACAAACGAUCCUAGUUCGUACCCAUUUUGGACCGUAUUUGGCUACACAGUAAGCAUCCGUACACCCUCUACCGUUUACCGUUUUCAUGGGUAACAAGUUCUUGCAAGCAAUAAUACCCAACUCAACAGUGCCCACCGGAGGUUUCCAGAGCUGCCUUGCGGUGGGCCGGUAAUCGCUGCACACGUGAGCCGCUUCGUCCAUCACAUGAUACCCACCAUCAAAACAUAACUUCAACUGAACUCUACCUUUGUAAGCUGCCUUCUCGGGAUCUUCAAAAGUGAACCAUCGAGAUGCCACCAUCCUGUCAUCGACCCGCCUCUCUAUUGUCGUAAGCGAUAUUGUGGCAGUCCCGAGGGUUACAGUUCCUCCAGCUUGCCGGUUCUCUAAGGUUAAAGUCAAUUCGUAUCUGAAAGGCUCGGCAGAAACAAAGAGUAAAUCUUCAUUCCAUGAGGGGUUGCCGUUGCGGGUAACUGUAGCUUUAGUUUUCUGGACUUGGGGUCCUAGUUUGGCUUUGAGUUGAUACGAGGCUUCUUUUAAAUGGGUUGCCGGCAAGAUGUCUUGAGCUUCGAGUACAGUGGCUCUUAGGUACCAUAACUUUGGAGAGAGGUAAACUUUGGCUCUAGAGUUAACGUUACCGGCUGCGUCGGUUUUCCAAGCGUCGGGGAAUGCCUCGUCGGCUUGUGUCCCCACCCAUGUAGCAAGCAUCAGGUUCCCAAGCAUCGCGUCACCUCUGUGGCCUCCACUUCGUUCCAACCUGUACCAUUGUGGGGCCAAGGGGCUGUCCGGGGGAUCCCGCAAGGGAAUUUCCGUGGCGUCGAAGCAAAUUCCACCUAGGAAUUUCGCACCUGCCAAGUCAGAUUUGCUGUCCGCAGUUGGCGGAUCCCACACCGAGACCUCAAGGAUGGAGGAGGAUUCCGGUGCGUCACGGCCGAAUGCGAAUGUCUGAUCCCACUCAAAAAAUGCAGUCCUUCUUGCUGGUCUGGAUUGUAUGCGACUGCCUGAGGUUACAAUCCUUACGAUGGGAUUGCCAUUGGUGGGUAGACCUCGUGCUUUCACCACCCGAACAAAUAAGUAGUGCAUCUUUUCUACCAGAUCAAAUGAUGAACGUUCGAUUGAAAUACUUUCUUGCGGUUCCAACGUGUAGUUCGUGGUGGCUACUGCUGGUCUUGUGAUGGGAUGCGGACCGUUGAUUCCAGCCACUUUCACCUCUGGCACAGAUCCAUAUACUGACGCUAUUAUUUCUGGUGAUUUCGGAUCCCAAUCAUUCAUUGAAUGUUCCAAAACAAUGUCACCAUCGGCUUCCGGAGGCUCAUUGGAUUCUGUCGGUGGAUCCCCUUGACUUUCACUUGCUUCUUUUGCUGGUACUGGUGGUGGUGGUGGGGGCGCUGC